UGAGAAUAAUCCCCGAUAGACCACAAUGCCUGGAAUGGCUUGUGGUUGAAAUGAUUUAUCGCCAUAGGAUGGGACUGCGGCCUAUCAGCUAGUUGGUGAGGUAAUGGCCCACCAAGGCUAUAACAGGUACGGGCUCUGAGAGGAGGGGCCCGGAGAUGGGUACUGAGACACGGACCCAGGCCCUAUGGGGCGCAGCAGGCGAGAAACCUUUGCAAUGUGCGAAAGCACGACAAGGUUAAUCCGAGUGUCUUCUGCUAAAGAAGUCUUUUGUUAGUCAUAGAACCACUGAUGAAUAAGGGGUGGGCAAGUUCUGGUGUCAGCCGCCGCGGUAAAACCAGCACCUCGAGUGGUCAGGAGGUUUAUUGGGCCUAAAGCAUCCGUAGCCGGUUGUUUAAGUUUCCGGUUAAAUCUAUACGCUUAACGUAUAGGCUGCCGAAAAUACUGGACAGCUAGGGAGUGGGAGAGGUACACGGUACUCAAUAGGAAGGGGUAAAAUCCUUUGAUCUGUUGAUGACCACCUGUGGCGAAGGCGGUGUACCAGAACACGUUCGACGGUGAGGGAUGAAAGCUGGGGGAGCAAACCGGAUUAGAUACCCGGGUAGUCCCAGCUGUAAACGAUGC
rnacentral:rRNA from 1 species